UCUGGGCCCCGGUGGUUUAUGA
rnacentral:miRNA from 1 species